ensembl:lncRNA
GUUACUUAACCUAUUAUGAUAAUAAAUGACAUUCUUUAAACAGGAUUUUCAAUGUAUAGUAACAUCCUUUUCAAGUUGAUUGUGUUCUUAUCAGAGUAGUAUCUGAUUGUAAAUAUUGUCAGUUUUAAGGAUGUAUAGCUAAUGAAUGUAUAUGUCAGCAUGGCAGCAGUCCAUAUGAAAUCUAUCUUCAUAUAGAUAUACAGUAUGCUCAUUUGCAAUUCCAACAUGACAUACAACAUGGCAGACUGAACAAUUCACAUAUGAUCUGCACCUCUGUCUUUCCUUCUGCGUAAGAAGGACCUCUAUUUAAUAGACAGUGAGUAAAAACAAAGAAAAAUAAGCGACUCAUCAGAGAUCCCAUAGGAAGUCUGGUGCAGAACUUCAGGAUUUGCACCAACGGCUUAAUCAAAGAAAUAAAUCGUUCCACGAUAAUGGUAGAGGCUGUGCACAGUAGCCUUCUCCCCAUGAAUAAUAAAACAAGACAAGCCUCACGAGCUGAGCACAAACAAGAAUCCUUCACACUGGAGAGGACUGUAAAAUUACAAAGCUAAUUCACCUGAUGCCCGAGAGAAAUCUGAACUCCUGUUUCCCAGGAGCCAGGCACGGUAGUGAACACCCACUCCUGGGUGCCUGCAGCUGCAGAGCGCCAACGUUCUGAGCCUAGUGCACAGAGGAACCCUUCCCAAACUAACUUACACUGCGAUGGCUGGUUAGCAACACCUAAGUUUUACAGCCAGAUAGAUUCCAGCUCUGUGCUAGGAGGGGUUGUCCACAUGCAACCAACUGCAGCACUCAGUCCCAUGUCAUUAUUUGAUCACAUUCCUUCUCAAUUACCAUUUUUUUUUAACAACGAAGAGACAAUCUAGCAAUGGAAACCCAUUCUUUGAACAACUCCUGCCAUUUUUCUCAGAUGUAAACUACUGCUAUGUAAGCCAUUCCCAAUUAAUAACGGGCCCCCAUGGAAAAGCCACUGCCUGUCUACUGAUUUCAUUUCCUACAUCUUCUCUUGUUAAAAUCACAAUUCAACUCUCCAAAACGCAAGGGCAAAAGAUCCUUUGUUUCAUCUUCACAAGAUGACAGUGUUUUUUCCCUUGCCAUUUUCUUGCAGGAAGAUAUAUUAGCACUACAUUUGCUCCUCCAUGCGGUGGGAUUUCUUAAAUAAAAACGUAUGUUAUAUAUGGAUGGACUUGGAACUGGAGCUGCAUUAGCCUAUUAACUAUCCACAUUUGCUUCAGACUUGGCCAGCCACCUAGAAAACCUGCCAAGACCUUUCUGGCAGCCUUUUCCCAACAGUUCCAGGAAAACAUGGAAUAUUCAAAGAAUUUUAGGGCCUCCCGGCUUCGUUUGUCACCACUCUCCUUGCCCACUUAUUACUAAAUCACAGGCAAAUUGCUCUAAUGCCCUAUUAAAGAUUUAAAAGCGGCCUUCUCCACAGCGGGGUAUACGAGGACAAACCCACGCUCGCACGGCCGCUGUCUGUGCUCAGGCAGGCCGUGAGGCCUCGCAGUGAGGAAGGGGACUGCCUGACCAACUCCAAAGUUCACGACUGAAUUCUCCCAUGUUAGGAGAUGUUAAAGCUCUCUCAGACACCCAGACAAAGGAGAGAUUCGUUUUCUCCUCAGCGUUACGCCGACAAAUUGCCGUUGAGGUUUCGUGUGCCUGCGUCGUAUAGGCCGCAAACAAAUGGUGCAUUGCACCAGGACUCACUCACUGCCCCAUGGGCCUCAGGGCACUGCUUGACCAAUGCCACAGGGACAGGCUGGAGCCCCAUUGCCUACAGCUUGCCUGGGAGCCAUCUUAAAGCCUCACAGCAACCAGGUGGCAUGAUUCUACACCAAGAUUCAGAGCAGGAUUCACGUGCACUGCAACUGCAAUCCUCUGCUUUGCAAUCUAAGUGAGGAUCACAGCACAACAGCAAAAAGAAAGGAAUCCUGCUUUCGCAUGCAUGAACUAAGCUAUUCCUUCAGCCCCAUCCACUGAAGAAGGAAGAGACUCCAGGUCUCUAAUUUUGACAUGAAGUUCUGAGUAAUCCUUUAGGAAAUACAGCCACCAGCAUAGGGCCCCUGAUGAUUUAUUGCAGCACUACAGUGAGAGCUCACUGACCGGUGCCAUGUAUCGUAGAACCCUACAAACAGAAGUGAUUCAGCAGCCAAACUGCAUCAUUACCAACACAGCAAGCAGCAGACACUGAUUUUAUUUUUUCCACUAAACCUACACUACUUAAUUUCUGAUUCAGUAACUAUUCUCACAUACAAAUGAAGGGAAACACGUGACUGAAAUAUCUUAGUUCCCUUAAUAAUAAGUUCUCCUUUCACAUUUCAAAAGCCACUGGGAAGGCAAUUUCUAAAAUCAACUCAAACCACAAGAUCUGUAGCAGAUAGCAAUUGUGCCUCGCCUUCUCCCCUUCCCAUUUCCUUCCUGUUCUUCCUCAUUCUUUUUUUUAAGAUCCUGUCUCCAAAUCUAACAACUUCACUUAUGGGAGGAAAUAGAAAGCCAAGGGGAAGCUGUGGCAUUUGUCAGACUACAAACAGCGCUACUGCAAACCACUCUUUGAGCCACAACUGCUAUUCCUCAUCAGACGAGAUGAGAAGCCACUUCAAACACAAGGAAAAAACCGAACUCUUUAAAAUACACCCACAUCAGGGGCAUUAAUCCAGGAAUGGGUUUGACCUUCUGCUUGCAACAAUUAUUUAAACUCAGUAAGGCCAAAGAACACAGACUGUUUGCCUACAGCAUUCAGGGACUGAAUGGAGUGACCCCAAACCUCAUACCAAGCUGAGAGCCACAGAUUUCCAGGCAGCAUGAUUCAGAAGAGACAGCUUCACCUGCCUCUGUGUGCUUUACUGUACAUUGGUCACACAAGCCUUCCCCAUCGCACACAGCAGCUGUGAGGGACUGCAGGUGGACCAUGCUGUUGGGUAACUAUUAUCAAUAUUGCUCUAUCAACCCUUCCUUCCCACUUGUCAGUAUGAACUACGUGUUUAAUAAUUUGCAAGAGACACAUGCAGAUCGGGGCAGAAUGCAAACUUCUAUAACAAACCUGCUCCAAGUGUGACAAGUGUUGGUGGCUCUGCACAGGCAAGAGCUGUCCUUCCCACUGGUUCCUUUCUGGUUCUGAACUGCUGCACUUCAUUCAUUCUAAGUCUUGAAACAUGAGGUCUACAUUCAGCUCUGAAGUUAUCAUCAUGAAUUAGCAUAAUUUUGCAUAUGCUUAUUAAAAACUUCAGUACCGAACCUGUUCUAGACUUGCAAACUUCUUGGUCCCAUUAACUUCUAAAAGCAAUUAGGUUCCUUUUUAAUUAAGUACUGGUGAAAAAGAAUUGCCUUUUAAAACAUUUUCAAUUUGUCACCAUUUGCUUUCACCGCGUGUCUCCUUGUACUCACUUUGCAAGACUACAAGAAUUUCUCACUCUACCUCCUCAUUAUUUCCUUUCUUUUCAUUAUGAUGUAAAUUUGUUUUCGUUUCUAUUGGGAAUGGUUCCACUAUGGCGAUUUUGGAUAUCUCCGUGCUUAGGCCCAUUUUUGCUGGCAUCUUUUUGAACCACUCAGGCUUGGUAGCACAGCUCCUGCUCUGCAUGCCUCACCGUUUUUGGUCCCAGAAAUGCAGACAGCACUCAGUUGAAUUUCAUGUCAAUACUGUGCAAGGGUGCAUCCACGCUACAUUUAUAACAAGACCAAGGUCUAGAAUGCUCAAAAAAGCUCCCAUUGAUGGCUUGAGCUCUGAAUUGGUGUUGGAUUUAGGAACAACAAGGCAACAAGGACUGAUUGCCUAUCAGAGACUCAAGGAGGAAAAUGCAAAAGCAAAAAAAAAGGAAAAAAAAACAACAGUCUGUCUUUACCAAAUGUCUGCCUGACUGGUUAAGGCUUUUUUGGACGCUGUCAGUUGCAUAUGUAAAAAAUGGCCCAUUCACAAAAAUACACUUACACUACAAUUGUUAGACAUGACAUUUACACGUCACUGUUAAUUAUAAAUGACUUGAUCCUGACAUUUCAUUAAUACAUUAUGAAAGCCAUAAUGAAACCCUAUGAGCCGUGUGUCACACCUGUAACAAAGACAAGCUUUACAGAAAUCACAGUCAUGUCACCAGACCUUGGCAAAGGGUGGAAGGGGAAACCGGCAGUGGGGUGACUCACACUUGGAGUGGGUUUAUCCUCAGCAGCCUGAAAGGGACAGGGGGAAGCCCUGCACCCCAACAUUCGCUCCUCUGCAGCGUGGUGCAAUUGUUCCAUUACCUGAACACAGGAAUCCAUGAGAAUGUAGACGGAAAAUGGAAAUCAAGGACCCUACGUUGGUCAUGCCUGCCCUGUCUUUAAACUGUCAUUUUAGACAAGGGUAGAGCACCUAACUGGAGACACAACUGUUUUAUGCAGAGGUAGAAGGAAGCAGGGAGAGAUGGAAGUAAGCGGGAGGCACUGUGUUGAACACCGAAUUUCAGAAUCUUUCCCUAUCUGCCCCAGAAACCUGAUUCUUGAACUUAUUUAACCAAGAAACAGGGCCAUGACAUUGCACAAAGAGGCUAAUUUCACAUGUAAAAAUCUGAUUUUCUUCGGGAGAAUACAUUUUAUAUUAUGAAUCUAUAAAGCUAAAUAUAUGCACCUGGGACUGCCUGGAGAUCAGUGGAGUCAGGGCAACCAGAAGUCCUGUUUUGGUCAAAAAAAGAAAAAUGUGAAAAAAGAAAUUGUUUCCCCCGCCUCAAUAAAAUGCUUUGGAUCUUUUGGGCUAUACAAAAUCUCCAACCCUUGGAAGUUUUUAUCAAAAAGUUCAAUGCUGGCAGCCCAACACCACGCAUCCAGGAGUUUGGCUGUGACUGGAGGAUCUCAAAAACUCACUCUGGAAGUGCUGAAUUUCAUCUAGUUUCAUACCUAAGCUGUAAAUCUAUUGCAAAUCUAUGAUAAGGUGAAAGUGAGAACGAGAAGAAAAAAGGUGGUCAAAAAGAGACGUGUGCUCAGAUCUCUGCUCUGGCCUCAAGCUGUUCAUUUCACAUAGACAAGUGUCUGAAUACGGAGCUGGUCUCUACCACCUAAUUCUUCUAUUUUCCAGUUGCACUGUAAUCAAUAUCUGUAUCUAAUGGAAAGGAGAUAUUUUUCCCUUAUAGGUUAUACUUUGUGACUCAAACACAGACAAAAAGAACUUCCUCCUUCAGCAAUUUGCAACUUCAAAAGAAGAGAAGAGACCAUUUCUGAGGUCCAGGCUUUGAAUCUCUGUAAUGAAAUUGUCUUAUUUUUAACUGUCUGAGCAGCUUUCAAGCAGAAGCGUGUUAGAAUUCAUAUUAAUUUGUGCAGUACCCUAUCAUCAUCAUAAUUUAGCUCACAAGGUUGCUGUGCUUGGAAUUCCAGUUAUGACAUGAAUUCUAUACAUUUUAUACAGAUUUAUAAAUGGCAUCAAUAGAACACUUAGGGCCUUAUUCAUUAAACAAUGAGUCAUUCUGGCAUUCCAUUCUAUUUCAUCCCUGUUCUUGCAAAACUUUUAUGUAUAAAUUUGACUGUACUUAAUGCAUCUGAUUUAGCAGCAGAAGUGUUGCAGCAUAGUUUCAGCUGGGUGUGGAAGCAGAUGAAAGGCAUUGUUUAAGGAAAAAAAAAAGAAAGAAAGAAAGAAAAAAAAGAUCCCUCCAACAGUGAAAGUUUUUGAAUUUCAGUUUCCUUUCUAAAGGAUGAGCAUUCAAGGCCCAGGAGACAGCCCUGCCCAGGCUUCUCGCUGCCACACGUUGGCCCAUCAGACAGCUGUGAGGCAGCUCAGAAGGUGCUUGUGGGACUGCAUGCAAUCAAAUCCCACUAUUUGUGGAUAAGCGAAAUUCCUCCUUCUUCAUGACUGUUGGCUGGCACCUUUUACAACCAUCAUAGCCAUGUAAAAACACAGAAACAAGAGAAGAUUUGCAAUAGUGCGCUGUUUCAAGUAAUACCUUGCUGCCCAGCAAACCAAGAAAUGACUACUGACUACAACACCUUAUUAAUUAUUCUUUAAAUAAAUCAGUGGUGUUGAAAGAGAUAUGGCUAGGCCACAAGAGGCCCCAAUACAUCCCUUAGUAAGCAGUUUACAACCGUGACAUCAGCAAAUCCUAAUAACGAUAGUGCAGGACCACAACAAGGAGCUUUCAGAAUAACUUCCCUAGUGACCUAGAACCAAAGUAAGACCCGUUACCCAUCUGUGAGGAACCUAUAUCACUAACAGUGACUAGCAGCAUGUCUACCUAGCAAAAUAUAGGACAAUUUUUUGGUAAAUAUCAGCUUAAUUUGCGUAAAGCACAUAAAAUUGCAAUGAAGUCACAGUGAGAUGUCUUCAGGUUGCAUGCUGGCUACCAGUCAGUGGGAAUCUGUCCAAACUGUUCUCAUUCCAACCACUUGCUCCAGAUAAACCUACACAUACUACAAACUGCUCCCCAGCUUAUAGUUCGGUCACUUCAGAACUAUGCCUAUUUUGGGUCUUAGUAAGCCACAGUAAAUUUGGAAUCCAUUUCACUACAUAUUCUUUACGCUAUCUACCAAGCAAUUACCACUCCAAGAAAUGCACAACACUAUUUACACUCAUUGCCCAUAACAGAGAAUAGGGAUGUGUGCUCAAACAAAGUGCACCAUCCCAUUCUCAUUAGUUCUCCCACCAUGAUAUUUCUAGUACUUCCCUUUGUACGUCAGACUUAAAAGGACAAAAAUCAGAUCAAAGUUUAGAUUCCGUUAUCAAAGGACAAACAAUUUUCUAGGGGGUGGACUGUUUCAUUUUCAUUUUACAUUCCAAUGGAAAUGUUCUCUGAAAAACAGUUACUGUCUCUCCUACUGUUCACAGGAAUAACUGAAUAAAAACUGGGAAUGGAGCAGCAAUGGAAGACAAGGAAAUUAGGACACUUCUGUCUGUUCAUUGUUCAAGCAGGGAGAAACAAGACUGGCAAUUAAAGGAACCGUUCAGGACUAGACACCUUCCUUUUGCUUCCUCCUCUUCUAAUCUACAGCUCAUGAGCUGCUUCUUUACUCAUUGCAAAAGGUCCGUAAUUGUAACACUGCCACAUUCUCCUGGAAAUCUACUUAAAUGGCAUAUGAUAGAAGCCAUAUGAUAGAAGCUUAAUUACAUAGAGGGCAUAUGGAAGGCAUAUGAUAGAAGGGCAUCCGAGGACAUAUGAUGGAAGUCUAAUUAAUUGACAAUACAUUCCUCUCAUCAGGGGGAGAGCUGGAAUGCUGCUUUGUUCGGAAGAAAAAUAUGCACACUGCAUUAUGUUUAUUGUUAACUCCACCGUACCACUGACCAUCCUCCUUCUUCAUUGUUACCUCCUGUUCCUUAGAGCAGAUAGAUUAUUUGAUUUACAUAUCCAUCUGGCACUAAGUUUGAUAGCCACGAGUAUGUGUGUUAGUCCACAUACUCUUCAGUUUUCAACUUUACAAAGUACCCUUAUGCCUGUAUGAAGCAGGUCUACAAUUCUGCCACCGAAAAGGAAAACAGGCUGUUCUUACUUGGGAAUCAUUAUCAUUAAUAUGUGAUGUUUUUCCUAGAGAAGCACCAAACAGGUAAAGAAUCGACCAUUGCGGAGUGGUGUCCACUAACUGUAUGCUGGGUGUGAGUCAGCACAGUUUGUGGGUUUACAUCAGUUGAAAGUGUGCACUUCCAGCUGCAACAAGAUCUAUGGGGCAGAGAAAUAAAGCAGCCUAAAGCAUAUACACAGCAGCUGUCCUAAAUGAAACUGAUGCGAUGGAGAAGCAAACCACCUUUACAAGAUAUGACCAGAAGCACCAGUCUUUGAAAUGCCUACUUUAAUUGUUAAAGCCUAGGAAAAACACCUUGAAAACCACCAUUUUAGCUAACUGUAAUCAUUAAUGGAGAUUCCCUAUGAACAGCUCUCCUGGGGACUGUGUAGAUUUAGGUACUUUCACACAAACCCUUACCGGUUUUAUCUGGAAGCAUCAGUGCCAGCCUCCUACCUUUCCAAGAGGCAAGCAGUGCCAGCUCCCACUCUGCUGCUGGC